rnacentral:rRNA from 1 species
AUUGAACGCUGGCGGCGUGCCUAACACAUGCAAGUCGAGCGGUAACAGGUGUAGCAAUACAUGCUGACGAGCGGCGAACGGGUGAGUAAUGCUUCGGAAUCUGCCCAUGUAGUGGGGAAUAACCAGCCGAAAGGUUGGCUAAUACCGCAUACGACCUACGGGUNAAAGCAGGGGAUCGCAAGACCUUGCGCUAUUGGAUGAGCCGAAGUCGGAUUAGCAGUUGGUAGGGUAACGGCCUACCAAGGCGACGAUCCGUAGCUGGUCUGAGAGGACGACCAGCCACACUGGGACUGAGACACGGCCCAGACUCCUACGGGAGGCAGCAGUGGGGAAUAUUGGACAAUGGGGGCAACCCUGAUCCAGCGACGCCGCGUGUGUGAAGAAGGCCUGCGGG